AUUGAACGCUGGCGGCAGGCCUAACACAUGCAAGUCGAGCGGAGCGGCGGACGGGUGAGGAAUGCCUAGGAAUCUGCCUGGUAGCGGGGGAUAACGUCAGGAAACGGGUGCGAAUACCGCAUACAAUCAGAUGAGGGUAGGUCGGAUUAGCUAGUUGGUGGGGUAAAGGCCUACCAAGGCGACGAUCCGUAACUGGUCUGAGAGGGUGAUCAGUCACACUGGAACUGAGACACGGUCCAGACUCCUACGGGAGGCAGCAGUGGGGAAUCUUGGACAAUGGGCGAAAGCCUGAUCCAGCCAUGCCGCGUGUGUGAAGAAGGUCUUCGGAUUGUAAAGCACUUUAAGUUGGGAAGCGUUACCAACAGAAUAAGCCCCGGCUAACUUCGUGCCAGCAGCCGCGGUAAUAC
rnacentral:rRNA from 1 species